GGUAUCAGGUGAUUGACAGCAGUGUCAUCCUAUCAGCAAGUAGUACCUUGCAUUUAAGUCUGAUUGGCUGUUACCUGGGAUGCGUCACGUCCGAUUUCCCCGUUUGUUUUGCUAGCGUCGACGGUGGUUGUAGUGCAGCUUUGGUGCGGUGCCCUCUGUGCUGCUUAGUGGGUCUGAUGACUGUUCACCUCACAGGCGUGAUUCCCUGUAUUCCCUUGUGUAACCGGUGGGCAGGACUGACCAAUCCGUGUUUAAGCGUGCUUUCUAGCGUGAUCUCCUGAUGGUAAGUGUUUAUACUUUACUAUGACUGGGAGUGGGGAUAGUAUUACGAUUGGUAACAUCUCCGUUUGGUUUUUAUAGGAUUCUCCUUCUCGUUCUAUGCCGUGAUUGUUGCUACUGUCUUCACACUAUUAAAGUGCUGCGGUUAAUACGGCCGCGCUGACGCAAUCAUCACUAAAGAGACGGGGACUGCUCGUUUGGUUCUUAUCGUGGCGUUAUAUUUGACCCUGGAUUGUGUGGGGGACUAUUUGGUUCCUUCCACUUGUAGGGGAGUUAGCUGCCCUUUGUGUCUUUGUUUGAUUUGAAACCUUUUUUUUUGUUUAUUUUUCGGUUAACUAACCUCUAAUUUUUGGAAGUAUAGUUUGUUUGGUUACCUUGAUUUUUAUUUCAUCUUUAUUUAUGUAAAGCCAAUUAAACGGCGUGUAAUAUUUAAUUAAGCCAUUUAAUUGCUUGGUUCAUGUGAUCAACCAUCUAUAAGUACAAUUUUAUUUGUGUGUGAACCUCUAUUGAGCUAAAAUUGUCUUGUAUUAUUUAGGUGACCAACUAAUUGAUGUUCCUGCGCUUGAAUGGUUUUUUCUUUAUUUUCGUCAUUUACAUAUAUGUGUUGUGAGGAUUUGCUUUAUUGAUGUCCAUCUGGUUAUUUUUUCUUUAUGAACAUUGUUAUAGUUUCUUAUCUUUAUUUUGCAGGCGCUGGGGUCCAACGGGUGGAUUGCUCUUCCUCCUCCUGGUGGUGGUCGUCCUUUAUCGUGUGCAGUGUACACUGUUGAGUGUGUGAUUGUGUGAUUAAAAGCACGGGGUGUGUGUGC